CUUAUAUGAAUGAGAUUUGGAGUGCUUAUCGAUCGCUAUCCUAUUUUUUUAUGAAAAUUUUUUCUUAGAAAUAAAUGGAGCAAGAUGGCUAGAAUCUCCAUCUUACCGAAACUUAAAAUCUCACCAACUAUGGAUAAGUAACAAAAGAUAAUAAGAGUCCAUGAUCUAUUGAACGAGUAAUUACUAGUUCUCAACACUUGUCAAUAUAAAUGCUGUGCAGAAGUGCCCAUCCUUAUUACAUACAUCAAACCUAACAUUCAAAUCAAUCAUAUCAAUCAAUUUUUUUAAAAACAAUUAUAAUACAAAUGGUCUGUAAAUAAAGUACGA
rnacentral:lncRNA from 1 species